rnacentral:rRNA from 1 species
GACGAACGCUGGCGGCGUGCUUAACACAUGCAAGUCGAACGAAAAGGCCCUACUUUUGUUGGGUGCUCGAGUGGCGAACGGGUGAGUAACACGUGAGUAACCUGCCCUUGACUUGGGGAUAACUUCUGGAAACUAGGGCUAAUACCGGAUAGCAUCUCCUGCUGCCUGGUUUUGGUUAGAAAAUUUCUGUCGUUGGGGAUGGAUUCGCCGCUUAUCUGCUUGUUUGUGGGGUAGUGGCUUACCCAGGGUGUGACGGAUUGGCGGCCUGAGAGGGUGACCGGCCACAUAGGGACGGAGAGACGGACCAGACUCCUACGUGAGGCAGCAGUGGGGAAUAUUGCACAAUGGGCGGAAGCCUGACGGAGCAACGCCGGGUGCGGGAUGACGGCCUUCGGGUUGUAAACCGCUUUCGCCUGUGACGAAGCGUGAGUGACGGUAAUGGGUAAAGAAGCACCGGCUAACUACGUG